GCUCUGGUGGACUAGUGGUUAAAGCGUCCGCCUCAGAUGCGGGAGAUUGCGGGUUAGAACCCUCACCAGGUCA